GCUUUUCUCAUUUGGCAAUACAAUCAAACAUCUCCCUUUGUUUAUAAAUACAGAUUGAUAUUGACCGAAGACUGCAGGACUCCAAGAUGGCGGCAGCCACUCCAGUGAAAAGAAAGAAACUCACAGAUGUCAAAAUAGGGGAGCUGCCAAGCAGGAUAUGGAUGUGGGAUUUCACCCCAGAGACACUGUUGGAGCGUCUCAAAGCAGUUACUACCGGUUCUACAACAGAUGAUUUGCUCUUGAACAAUUAACAGACUGAAGGCUGCGUUCCAUCUCCUCACGCUCUCCUGCCAAGGCACCCCUGGGAGUUCAGCAGGAGGAAGGUUUUCUUCUUGAUCCUGUUACUCCUGCCCAGCAUCGAGAAGGAUUAAUUAACCCACCAGGUUUCGCCUCAUUACCAGGAAGGAAGAAAAGUCAGUGACAUCGGAAUUCAAACAUGGAGAAAGCCAAGAAUAGGGUGCUCGAGAGGCUGCAAGCCCUUCUAAGAGCCGGGCUGGCCAGUGGGUGACCCGGCUGGUACAGGUUAUAGACCCUCACAGUCCUUGUGUAUCAUCCUCAGAACUCACACUUCCGUUCUGCAAAAUGGACCACAAACUCUGAGCGGAGCCCCACAGGGGCCAAUAAGAAACUGUCUCAUUCUUCAGAAGCUCACUGUCUGGUCUGGACUGGGGAGCACACUCACACCCAUUUCUCUGGCUUGUUGUGUGAAUUAAUUAAAUGUGGUACCAUGUGUGAAAGGACUUGGUAACUAAGUGCUAUGUAAACGUUAGUUAUUACCAUUCAACACUUGGUAUGCGAUGGCAACCCACUCCAGUACUCUUGCCUGGAAAAUCCCAUGGACAGAGGAGCCUGGUGGGCUGCCGUCUACGGGGCUGCACAGAGUCGGACACAACUGAAGCGACUUAGCAGCAGCAGCAGCAUGCUGACAUUCCAACAGUGUCUGAGCCCUUAUUUGGGAAGAGGACUGUGUGUGGAGCUAACGGUUAGGUGAAAGGACUGAAACCAUUUUCUUUGCUGUUCUGGAAAGCACAACAGAUGUGCACACGAAAUACCAACGACAGAUCCCGGGCCUCAAAACAAAGUUUCAUCUCACACACCAGCCAGGGCUGGUUGGAUGGUCAUCUGGAGUACUUGCUAAAAUGGAUUCUGAAGUUGUUUCUAAGCUCAGUUUGAAAGGAUGUUGAGGCCAAAAUGAAGUGCUUGUUGGUCUUCAAAUCCCAUUGACCCAGUGUUUAUCCACGAAGACAGGCU
ensembl:lncRNA